CAGAGGUGGCAAGCGUUGUUCGGAAUUACUGGGCGUAGAGGGCGAGUAGGUGGCCAUCUAAGUCAGACGUGAAAUCCCCCGGCUUAACCUGGGAACUGCGUCUGAUACUGGACGGCUUGAGUAUGGGAGAGGGAUGCAGAAUUCCAGGUGUAGCGGUGAAAUGCGUAGAUAUCUGGAGGAAUACCGGUGGCGAAGGCGGCAUCCUGGACCAUAACUGACACUGAAUCGCGAAAGCUAGGGGAGCAAACGGGAUUAGAUACCCCGGUAGUCCUAGCCCUAAACGAUGAAUGCUUGGUGUGGCGGGUAUCGAUCCCUGCCGUGCCGAAGCUAACGCAUUAAGCAUUCCGCCUGGGGAGUACGGUCGCAAGGCUG
rnacentral:rRNA from 1 species